rnacentral:rRNA from 1 species
AGUCGAACGGUGAACACGGAGCUUGCUCUGUGGGAUCAGUGGCGAACGGGUGAGUAACACGUGAGCAACCUGCCCCUGACUCUGGGAUAAGCGCUGGAAACGGCGUCUAAUACUGGAUAUGUGACGUGACCGCAUGGUCUGCGUCUGGAAAGAAUUUCGGUUGGGGAUGGGCUCGCGGCCUAUCAGCUUGUUGGUGAGGUAAUGGCUCACCAAGGCGUCGACGGGUAGCCGGCCUGAGAGGGUGACCGGCCACACUGGGACUGAGACACGGCCCAGACUCCUACGGGAGGCAGCAGUGGGGAAUAUUGCACAAUGGGCGCAAGCCUGAUGCAGCAACGCCGCGUGAGGGACGACGGCCUUCGGGUUGUAAACCUCUUUUAGCAGGGAAGAAGCGAAAGUGACGGUACCUGCAGAAAAAGCGCCGGCU